rnacentral:lncRNA from 1 species
GAGCCAUGCGACGUUAAACGAAGCGCUGCUUGGGAGGCAACCCAAGGGAGGUUUGAAAUUUCUUUGUGUAUUUUUUCUUUUUGGAUUAUUCAGUUUUUAUUUUCUGUUGCCUUGAUGUAAUCACAUAUUAUGGGUUGUCUCAAUCUAAUGAACUUGAUUUUGUUUACAUACAUUUUCCUGUCUAUUUCGUUAGAUAUGUGACUAUGUCUGGCUAGUGGGUAUCUUGAUCACUUACACCAAAGACUUGGUUGUCAUCUCAUCCAGUCCCCUUGACUGUAGAU